UGUUUUGCAGUGGACCUCUUGAAAUGCUACACCUGCACCGACUUGACAGACGAAACUAAGUGUAAAGAUAUAACAGUCUGUGGGUACGGUGACAAGUUCUGUAAAACCACUUACAAACUAACUGGAACUGGUGUCACCGUCAGCAAGGGAUGUGCAUCAACUUGUACUGUAACAACAGCUUUCCCGCGAGAUGAGUGCUGUCAGGGAGAACUGUGUAACGAUAAAUUGACUUGCUUCCAAUGUGCUGAAACAAUCGAUGAAAGUUCCUGUACUCCAAGUUUAUGUGCAGCUGGAACAUUCUGCCAGAGUGACUACAAACUCAACGG